rnacentral:rRNA from 1 species
UGUUAAUAAUUUAUAUAAAAUAUUUUGAUGAAUAUUUAUAUAAUAUUAACAUAAUUCAUAUUACUAUAUAUUUUAGUAUAUGAAAUUUUACUUUGAGAAAAUUAGAGUGCUUAAAGCAGGCAUAUGCCUUGAAUACUCCAGCAUGGAAUAAUAUUAAAGACUUUUAUCUUUCUUAUUGGUUCUAAGAUAAGAAUAAUGACUAAUAGGGACAGUUGGGGGCAUUUGUAUUUAACAGUCAGAGGUGAAAUUCUUAGAUUUGUUAAAGACAAACUAAUGCGAAAGCAUUUGCCAAGGAUGUUUUCAUUAAUCAAGAACGAAAGUUAGGGGAUCGAAGACGAUCAGAUACCGUCGUAGUCUUAACCAUAAACUAUGCCAACUAGCGAUUGGAGGUUGUU